AUUGAACGCUGGCGGCAGGCCUAACACAUGCAGGUCGAGCGGAUGAAGGGAGCUUGCUCCUGGAUUCAGCGGCGGACGGGUGAGUAAUGCCUAGGAAUCUGCCUGGUAGUGGGGGAUAACGUCCCGAAACGGGCGCUAAUACCGCAUACGUCCUGAGGGAGAAAGUGGGGGAUCUUCGGACCUCACGCUAUCAGAUGAGCCUAGGUCGGAUUAGCUAGUUGGUGGGGUAAAGGCCUACCAAGGCGACGAUCCGUAACUGGUCUGAGAGGAUGAUCAGUCACACUGGAACUGAGACACGGUCCAGACUCCUACGGGAGGCAGCAGUGGGGAAUAUUGGACAAUGGGCGAAAGCCUGAUCCAGCCAUGCCGCGUGUGUGAAGAAGGUCUUCGGAUUGUAAAGCACUUUAAGUUGGGAGGAAGGGCAGUAAGUUAAUACCUUGCUGUUUUGACGUUACCAACAGAAUAAGCACCGGCUAACUUCGUG
rnacentral:rRNA from 1 species